GUCGGGAUAGCUCAGUUGGUAGAGCAGAGGACUGAAAAUCCUCGUGUC
rnacentral:tRNA from 25 species